CCAACCACAGAGAGAGGUUGAAGAUAUUUUUCUGAAAACUUGCCUAGAAAAAUGUUUCUGAGCUCGUACAAAAAGAUUUAUCUCCUGAGGGAACAAACUGAACGUAAAAAAACAAACCAGCAUCUGAUUGGCUGAUGGAAACAGGAAGAGGAGGAGCUACGGUGGCUGAAAGGUCCUAUCUACAUCCAGAGUUUGGUUUGUCCGUGUGUUACCGUAGAAACAUGGUGGUUCAACAUGGCGGACUCCGCCAAAGAUAAAAACAGCUCAUUCUAAGGGUCGACACUGGUGGGGCUAAUAAAUGACGUGUUAUCAGACCGGUGAACAGACCACUGAUACCUGAUGAUCUACUAACCAAACUGCUUUAACAACAAGAAAAUGUUGUUUAAAUUUUACUUUGACUGAGCUGGUUUUCCACAGUUGGUCUCUCUGUUGUUUUCAGGGCGGGACAUUUGUUGUGGUGAGAGUUGUCAUGGCAACCAGCAGCAGAGAGGAGGAGGAGGAGGAGAAGGAGGAGGAGGGGGAGGAGUGAGGCUUUAACUUCCUGAAAAAUGAGAUUAUUACACAACAGCACGACUUCAAUACCUGAUCACAGCUAAAAAAACACUUCUGCUUUCUGAGACUAAACCUGCUGAAGAGGGUGAGGAUGGUGAGGACGGAGGGAGGGUGAGGAGGGUGAGGAGGGUGAGGAGAGAGAGGGAGAGAAGGUGGGGGUCCCGGGCUUCCUUCAGCCCAGCAGGCUGUGGUAAUAAACGCUGGUCCUUUUGUUGGAGCGCAGUCGGCAGCAGGAGCUCAGACAAAAGGAAACCCCAUAAUGCCCUCUGCUUCGAGGCUGCAGUCACACACAGUCGGCUUUAAAACGUUCAUAAAAACUCCCCGAACUCUGUUUAAUAUUUAUGACUGAACAAAGUUAAACAAUAAGUUCGAAACAGUCUUCACUACACUGCAAAACCCCUUUUUAUUGAUCUGUCUACUAAUAUUUAAACCUGUUUGUUACUUAACGUCUUUAGUUUUUUAUUGUUUUGUUACAAUGUAAACAAAAAUGAUGCUAGCUAAGCUAGCUAAUUGCUGAAAAUCCACAUGAGGUGAUGAACCAGAGGAUUGUGGGUAUGUGAUGUCUCCAUCAAGAAAUUUAGUUUUUUUGUUCAGGAAAUGUUGGUUGUAAGAUCAACGCUGAUGAGUUUAUAACUCACCGUUUGUAAGUCCCGAACUCAAAAAGAUAAUUAGCUUCAGUUAUGCUACAACUGGCAAUCAGAUGUAACUAGCUAGCUAACAAUUGAUAUAGAUUAGCUAACAUUUUGUUAACAUUAACUAACCUUAGAUGCGACAGUAUGACACCAUCAGAAUGUCUUAGUUUACACUCAGUUCAUCAGGUUACAGUUGGAUCAAUCCACUCAUACAACGUGAGUAAUAAUAAUCCUGCUGACAGACGCACUUUAUUUUGGGUUUGAUUAUUUAAGAAAAGUGAAGUGAAAAAGUGCUUCUCUAUGCAGACGAUGUGACUGUAUUAAUCACUGAGAGAGAACUUGUUAAAUCACUAAUGGAGGUUAAAUGAAUCGCUGUGAAUUAACUGACGGAGGCAGAACUUUAACUGUACAACAGUUUUAUAAUGAUUACAACACAAUUCUCAUAAAGGCUGAUCGUUAUCAAUAACACGUCUCACAUAUAUAUAACAUAUAGAUAUUGUGAUUAAUUCAUUAGUGAGAUUUAUAUGUUUGGAAAUUUAAUAAACUGUUUAAAUCAUGAAGACCAAACAAAUAUGUUAUUUUUUAAAUUUGGAGAACCUGAACAUUAUUAUUACUAUUAUUGAUCCUGAUUGUUGUAUUUAUUUUUUUAUUUUUUAUUAUUAAUACUUUAUUAUAUAAUACUAUAUAAAUACUAAUAUUAAUCAGCCACUGUACAGUGAAGGUGAGCUCUUACCUACAGGCAGCCGUUACAGAUUACUGAUAGCUGAAAUAUCUACAAUAAGCUAAUAAAUGAAAGUAGAUUCAGCAGUUGAGGACUUCACUGCAGUUUGUUGCUCAGUAUGUGAAUGUGAUGUUUGUUUAUUAUUAAAGUUCUCAUUGUGAAACCGAAUUUCCACAUUUGUAAGCAGUAAACAGACUAUACUUAUUCAGAGCUCUUUACAGUCACAUUCACUCAUUCACUCAGUUUGGGGUUCAGUAUCUUGCUCAAGGACACUUCAACCUGCAGCACGAGGAGCCGGGGAUCGAACCACCAACCCUCUGAUCAGUGUACGACCCGCUCUACCUCCUGAGACACAGCUGCCCAGUUACCACCUGACACUGAGGUUCAUCAGCUCUAUAACAACAUCCUUCCUCCUCGGAAACACACUGAGACCUCGCAGGAGUUUCCAGGAGUCUCCAGGUGUUUCAAGGUGAACAGGGAUGAGGACGGUCUCCAGGGCUUCCAGGGGUCUCCAGGUGUUUCCAGGUGAACAGGGAUGAGGGCUGUCUCCAGGGUUUCCAGGAGUCUCCAGGUGUUUCCAGGUGAACAGGGAUGAGGACUGUCUCCAGGUGUUUCCAGGAGUCUCCAGGUGUUUCCAGGUGAACAGGGAUGAGGACUGUCUCCAGGGUUUCCAGGAGUCUUCAGGUGUUUCCAGGUGAACAGGGAUGAGGACUCUUUCCAGGGUUUCCAGGAGUCUCCAGGUGUUUCCAGCAGUGAAAUCGGUUCCUUAUGACGACCUGCAGAUGCACACACGCUCUCAGAUGAUGUCACGCUGCUUUACGACUGUUGUCAAGGAGAUAAAGACGAUACAGCGUCUGCUGACUGCCGCCGCCUUCUUCUUCACGCUCUGAUGUGACUGCUGCCUCCAGCUGUGCCAGCUCCGGGAGCGUCUAAUCAAUAAUUCUAUCAAUCAUCAGACUGGAUCCAAUCAUCAAACACCUUCCUUUAACUGAGAAAGGUGAAGAGUGACAGAGUGGGAGAGGAGGAAGAGAAGAGGAAGAGGAAGAAGAGGAAAAAGAGGAGGAAGAGGAGGAAUCUCUUUGUGUUCUUUUGAUUUUGAUGUUUAUUAUUAUAUUUAAGAUGAACAACAGGAAGUAAAAAGUAAAUAAAGAAUUUGUUCUGAU